UACGUAGGGUGCGAGCGUUAAUCGGAAUUACUGGGCGUAAAGCGCGCGUAGGCGGCUUGACAAGUUGGGAGUGAAAUCCCGGGGCUUAACUCCGGAAUUGCUUUCAAAACUGUCAGGCUAGAGUAUGGUAGGGGACAGUGGAAUUCCUAGUGUAGAGGUGAAAUUCGUAGAUAUUAGGAGGAACACCAGUGGCGAAAGCGACUGUCUGGGCCAUUACUGACGCUGAGGCGCGAAAGCGUGGGUAGCAAACAGG
rnacentral:rRNA from 1 species